AUCUGAUGGUUGGGGCAAGUGGAGCACAACCUCUUGAAACGUUCCCAAUAUUCAAACAAAUUUUCCCCAGGCAGCUGCCAUAUCCCACUUAUUUCCUUCCUCACAGCU
rfam:Vigna radiata var. radiata cultivar VC1973A chromosome 5, whole genome shotgun sequence